GCAACCAACGCGAACGCGGGGUGCUUCUCCGGGCCGCCGCGCCGCGGAGGUGGGAGGUGGAGUUCGCGCGCUACAUCCCGGCGCCGCGCCAAGCUGGCCCGCCGGCUCCCCCCGGCCUCCGCCGCAUCACCCGCGGCAAAGCAGCUCCGCCACCGCGGGGGCGCGUGGCUCACCGCCGCGUCCCCCGCGGUGCUCCGCGUGUCGAGCCCCGGCCGCCCCUACGCGGGCCCCGUCCUCACCGUCUCCAUCGGCGACGUCGUCUACGUCCGUACCGAGAGCGCCCCCCUGGCUCCCUCUUCUUUCCGCUUCUGCUGUGGCCACACCACGUUGUGUGCCACUUUAUACAUGUCAUUGCUCAUGAUUGAGAAGUUUGCUGUACGUUUCCCACAGCCUUGUGAUGCAGAGUCAUUCUUGAAUUGUGUGAAGGUCUAUACAUCAGGUGUUCUUCAAGAUGGUAAAGAAAACACCAUGUUCUGCUUAUUUGUCUUGUCUCUUUUAAAUUCUGUUCAUGACCUAUCAAGAAUGUUUGACACAGUUGUUGCUGCUAAAGAAAUGACUGCUGAUAAAGUUGAAGGCGCUGGUAAAGAGAUUGAUAUUACCAUAAAAAGAGGUAUUAUGCCAUCUAUAAAGGCGGGCAAUCAUCUGCCUGCGAAAAUGCACAGUUUGGUGUUGAUGGAGGAAGCUGCUGUGACCCUCGCCAACCUGGAGAUCAAAGGACAAAUGAGUUGGACCUCCAGCAUUGCUGUGGAACAAACAGGUCGCCUCUUUGGUUCUCAGACAACAUUGAUACCAUCAUGCUGCCGCCGUUCUGCAAUGGUCAUGGCAGAGCCAAGCGCGGUCGGGUCCCUGGGUGUGUCAGCUAUCUGCUGGCACACGGACAUCGUGGUGGCAACCCGGAUCGCUGCAGGCACAACGCAGGCCGUGCAACGCCGUGGUAUGCCGGUGCAGGGAUGAAGCCGUGGAGCGCAAUGCCAACUGGAUCUCCCUCGGAAGGCGCGAGCACACACCGUUUGCCGGUUUCUGAUGAGCAGGAGUGCUAUCCGGCUAGCCGCCGGCGGAGGGUUCUGGCCUCUCCCAUCCGCCCGUGCAUUCUUCUCCGCGCGGGGGAGCUGCCUGACGACAGUGAUGGUGAGUCAAGCUCUGACGACAGUGAAUGCUGAGGCUUCUUGAUUCGGAGUACUU
rnacentral:lncRNA from 1 species